ACGAACGCUGGCGGCGUGCUUAACCCAUGCAGGUCGGACGGAAAGGCCCUGCUUUUGUGGGGUGCUCGAGUGGCGAACGGGGGAGUAACACGUGAGUAACCUGCCCUUGACUUUGGGAUAACUUCAGGAAACUGGGGCUAAUACCGGAUAGGAGCUCCUGCUGCAUGGUGGGGGUUGGAAAGUUUCGGCGGUUGGGGAUGGACUCGCGGCUUAUCAGCUUGUUGGUGGGGUAGUGGCUUACCAAGGCUUUGACGGGUAGCCGGCCUGAGAGGGUGACCGGCCACAUUGGGACUGAGAUACGGCCCAGACUCCUACGGGAGGCAGCAGUGGGGAAUAUUGCACAAUGGGCGGAAGCCUGAUGCAGCAACGCCGCGUGCGGGAUGACGGCCUUCGGGUUGUAAACCGCUUUCGCCUGUGACGAAGCGUGAGUGACGGUAAUGGGUAAAGAAGCACCGGCUAACUACGUG
rnacentral:rRNA from 1 species